rnacentral:rRNA from 1 species
GACGUAGGGCGCGAGCGUUGUCCGGAUUUAUUGGGCGUAAAGGGCUCGUAGGCGGUUUGUCGCGUCGGGAGUGAAAAUCCAGGGCUUAACUCUGGACUGGCUUUCGAUACGGGCAGACUAGAGGUAUGCAGGGGAGAACGGAAUUCCUGGUGUAGCGGUGAAAUGCGCAGAUAUCAGGAGGAACACCGGUGGCGAAGGCGGUUCUCUGGGCAUUACCUGACGCUGAGGAGCGAAAGUGUGGGGAGCGAACAGG